rnacentral:snRNA from 1 species
GUGUGUGAGAGCGAUCUGGCUGCCGGGACUUCUGUCACUCCAUUAGUCACCGAGGUUGAUGUGGCUGCUCUGACUGACUGCUGGGCGGGUAUCCGCUUCCUCCAUCACUGCUCCACCUGCCUCCUUUGUCCUUCCCUAAGCUGUGCAUUUUGUCAAAAAGGAAGACCUUCCUUGAUAGAGGAAGACUGAGCUGUGCUCCCAAUAGACCCUUCAAACAAACUCUCAUGGUCCCUUAACAGUGGUUUGCCGUUCUCCCCGCCUCCACCUUACCCCCUUUUGGU